GAGAAUUACUGCACUAAAAGUUACUCUUUGUGUCUCUUUGCAGGCUACCUGGCAGUAUGGCCUUUUUGCUGUCGUUGCUCAUUCAGGAUCAGCUAGUUGUGGACAUUACUGUGCCUACAUUCAAAGCCUCACAGAGUGUAAAUGGUAUUGCUUUAAUGAUUCUCAGGUUUGCCAGGUGUCAUGGGAUGAUGUUAAAUGCACCUAUGGACAUUCCAACCUCCACUGGGGAGAAACGGCCUAUCUCUUGAUUUACAUGAAAAAACAUCCUCAGCAGCCCUAUCCAGGGCUAUCAGAGUGUCUGGGAAAGCUGUGAGUUGUCCAUGGAGCUCAGCACCUCUGUGCAAGAGUGGACAUGCACAAAUGUUCCAUCAGAAAGACAUUUUGCACUCAGCAACCUCUAUGUUCACAUUUAUUUAUGAAAAACACUCAGCUAGAAGAAGGAUCUAAGAACUGUUGCAACUAAAACUUUUUCUUUCAUGUAUUUUUUAUAUUUAUGUGAUUCUACAUAUUCAUUUCGUCUUUAAAAGAUAGUGAGUUAGUCCUUGUCUCUGCUGACUUAGCAGUUUCCUUAAUGCUGAUGCCUAAAUUCCCAUACAGGGGAAGUGUUUGACCUGAAAACCUGUGUGAUAUUCCAGAGAGGUGUGUGGUAUGACUGGGGAGCACUGAUAGCCAUACCUGACCAGUAAGAGCUUGAGACUUUGCCCUUUUAGCACCAUGUGAGAUGCUGGCAAGCUGGACAGGAGACCCCAGAAGUCACCAGAAACAUCUGCAGGAAGGAUCAAAACCUUUAUGCCACAUGCCAGUGGCUCUUACUCCUUAAAACCUCCCUGAAAAUGAGUCACUACAGGGGCUGAGAUGUAUUUGAAAGUUGGCAUCAGCACAAUGAGGUGUUUUAAAUCAGGAGCUUAUGCAGCAGUUCUGAUUUACAAGAUGAAUUCAUAUAUAUUUAUGCAGGUGAUUAUUGUUUUAACACACUUAUCAGGUGUUUAUAUGCAUUUUCUUUCCUGUAGAGAGGGAAAUAUUCAGAGUAACAGAGAUUCUGGAGCUAAUUAGUGAUUUUGCACGAUGCAGGGCAAUACACUGUGACAGGGGAAGUAAGACGCCUUGCUGUGCUUGAACUUUUGGGAUUUUCCUUAAGUAUUCUUCACCUGGUUGCCAGCUGGAAUUGUCUUGCCCUCUUCUUUCCCUUUCUGCCCUUGAGGUGGGAAUGUCCCUCAAGCAGAAAAUGUUCUAGAGAGAACAACUGUAUAAAGAAAGUGGGUAAUUUUUCAACCUCCUGUUGAGUCCCGUUACUCUGUGCUGUUGGUUCCACCUGUACUCCCGUGGCAAGACCACACAGAGGGAAAAUGUAAAGAGAGCUAGAAAGGAAGGUUGGUCACAUGUGACAGCGUGAAGAAGAGCGUUCUGAAGGCCCAUCACAAGGCUCCAUUGUGAGGAAAGUCCAAAACUUUGAUUGUGAUGCUUUUAAUGCCCUGGUGGCAUUAAGCCUUGUUGUACCACAUCCUGUGAAGGGAUUGAGGAUUCCAGCAGUUUGACUGUAUCUUUACAAGGGUGCUAUUUUUGCGGGACUGAGCACAUUUUAAAAUUACUAAUGUAGAUUUAAUAGCAGCUGUGUGUAACUUAAUUAUAUUUUGAUAGUGAUGAUGAAGUUCACAAAUCAUGUCUGUUUUCGUGUUGGUAUGUGGAAGGUAAAUUGAGAAAUUAUGGGGCAUAGCUAUGAAAUUACACUUUCAUAGUGCAGCAGGUAUUUAUUUUGCUCUAUAGCAAGGUCCGUUAUUCUGCUCAGCUCUCUUUUAUUUAUACUGCUCCUUCUUUGUUAAAAUAUCCCAGUGUGUUGUUUGUCACCAGGAUGAGGAAUUUUCACUCUAUUCACAUACAAGAAUGUGUUUCAAUCUUUCUAAAGCACCUUGCAAUGGAUGAGUAAGAAAACCAAGUUCCUGUUUGCUUUGUCCUGCACUUUGCCGAAGAGAAGGAGCAGAAAAACAAUGCACUUCCAGAAACUGGGAAAUUAAUGGGUUAAGAGACUGACAAGACAUUUCUAGUUAGAUAUAACUUGAAAUUUGAAAACUUAUGCUUAUGAAAAAUGCCUUAAAUGUGUCAUAACCUUCCAGGGAUGUUACCCAUCAAGGAAGCAAUUGCUGAGAUACAUUAAGAAUCUUUCCAGUCAGUGAAAAAAUAUUACUCUCAAUGAAAAGUAGUAAGUGUUUUUUGAAUAAAAUACUAAGUGAUAAGUUCCCUAGAAAAUGA
ensembl:lncRNA